UCCGAUGUGGUGUAGUGGCUAACAUUGCUGUCUUUCAAAUUUCAUGUACAAGAUUACAGACAUGUCUCACAGCAGCCCGGGGUUCGAUUCCCCGCAUCGGAA